AGCGGGUGAAAAGCCCGCUCGCCGGAAGACCAAGGGUUCCUGUCCAACGUUAAUCGGGGCAGGGUGAGUCGACCCCUAAGGCGAGGCCGAAAGGCGUAGUCGAUGGGAAACGGGUUAAUAUUCCCGUACUUGGUGUUACUGCGAAGGGGGGACGGAGAAGGCUAUGUUGGCCGGGCGACGGUUGUCCCGGUUUAAGCGUGUAGGUGUGUGUUCCAGGUAAAUCCGGUUCACUUUAACACUGAGGCGUGACGACGAGGCACUACGGUGCUGAAGCAACAAAUGCCCUGCUUCCAGGAAAAGCCUCUAAGCAUCAGGUAACAUCAAAUCGUACCCCAAACCGACACAGGUGGUCAGGUAGAGAAUACCAAGGCGCUUGAGAGAACUCGGGUGAAGGAACUAGGCAAAAUGGUGCCGUAACUUCGGGAGAAGGCACGCUGACAUGUAGGUGAAGUGAUUUACUCAUGGAGCUGAAGUCAGUCGAAGAUACCAGCUGGCUGCAACUGUUUAUUAAAAACACAGCACUGUGCAAACACGAAAGUGGACGUAUACGGUGUGACGCCUGCCCGGUGCCGGAAGGUUAAUUGAUGGGGUCAGCGCAAGCGAAGCUCCUGAUCGAAGCCCCGGUAAACGGCGGCCGUAACUAUAACGGUCCUAAGGUAGCGAAAUUCCUUGUCGGGUAAGUUCCGACCUGCACGAAUGGCGUAAUGAUGGCCAGGCUGUCUCCACCCGAGACUCAGUGAAAUUGAACUCGCUGUGAAGAUGCAGUGUACCCGCGGCAAGACGGAAAGACCCCGUGAACCUUUACUAUAGCUUGACACUGAACAUUGAGCCUUGAUGUGUAGGAUAGGUGGGAGGCUUUGAAGUGUGGACGCCAGUCUGCAUGGAGCCGRCCUUGAAAUACCACCCUUUAAUGUUUGAUGUUCUAACGUGGACCCGUGAUCCGGGUUGCGGACAGUGUCUGGUGGGUAGUUUGACUGGGGCGGUCUCCUCCUAAAGAGUAACGGAGGAGCACGAAGGUUGGCUAAUCCUGGUCGGACAUCAGGAGGUUAGUGCAAUGGCAUAAGCCAGCUUGACUGCGAGCGUGACGGCGCGAGCAGGUGCGAAAGCAGGUCAUAGUGAUCCGGUGGUUCUGAAUGGAAGGGCCAUCGCUCAACGGAUAAAAGGUACUCCGGGGAUAACAGGCUGAUACCGCCCAAGAGUUCAUAUCGACGGCGGUGUUUGGCACCUCGAUGUCGGCUCAUCACAUCCUGGGGCUGAAGUAGGUCCCAAGGGUAUGGCUGUUCGCCAUUUAAAGUGGUACGCGAGCUGGGUUUAGAACGUCGUGAGACAGUUCGGUCCCUAUCUGCCGUGGGCGCUGGAGAACUGAGGGGGGCUGCUCCUAGUACGAGAGGACCGGAGUGGACGCAUCACUGGUGUUCGGGUUGUCAUGCCAAUGGCACUGCCCGGUAGCUAAAUGCGGAAGAGAUAAGUGCUGAAAGCAUCUAAGCACGAAACUUGCCCCGAGAUGAGUUCUCCCUGAGACUU
rnacentral:rRNA from 1 species